GCAGUCGAACGAUGAUCUCCAGCUUGCUGGGGGGAUUAGUGGCGAACGGGUGAGUAACACGUGAGUAACCUGCCCUUGACUCUGGGAUAAGCCUGGGAAACUGGGUCUAAUACCGGAUACGACCGCUCACCGCAUGGUGUGGUGGUGGAAAGCUUUUGCGGUUUUGGAUGGACUCGCGGCCUAUCAGCUUGUUGGUGGGGUAAUGGCCUACCAAGGCGACGACGGGUAGCCGGCCUGAGAGGGUGACCGGCCACACUGGGACUGAGACACGGCCCAGACUCCUACGGGAGGCAGCAGUGGGGAAUAUUGCACAAUGGGCGGAAGCCUGAUGCAGCGACGCCGCGUGAGGGAUGACGGCCUUCGGGUUGUAAACCUCUUUCAGUAGGGAAGAAGCGAAAGUGACGGUACCUGCAGAAGAAGCGCCGGCUAACUACGUGCCAGCAGCCGCGGUAAUACGUAGGGCGCAAGCGUUAUCCGGAAUUAUUGGGCGUAAAGAGCUCGUAGGCGGUUUGUCGCGUCUGCUGUGAAAGACCGGGGCUCAACUCCGGUUCUGCAGUGGGUACGGGCAGACUAGAGUGAUGUAGGGGAGACUGGAAUUCCUGGUGUAGCGGUGAAAUGCGCAGAUAUCAGGAGGAACACCGAUGGCGAAGGCAGGUCUCUGGGCAUUAACUGACGCUGAGGAGCGAAAGCAUGGGGAGCGAACAGGAUUAGAUACCCUGGUAGUCCAUGCCGUAAACGUUGGGCACUAGGUGUGGGGGACAUUCCACGUUUUCCGCGCCGUAGCUAACGCAUUAAGUGCCCCGCCUGGGGAGUACGGCCGCAAGGCUAAAACUCAAAGGAAUUGACGGGGGCCCGCACAAGCGGCGGAGCAUGCGGAUUAAUUCGAUGCAACGCGAAGAACCUUACCAAGGCUUGACAUGAACCGGUAACGCCUGGAAACAGGUGCCCCGCUUGCGGUCGGUUUACAGGUGGGUGCAUGGUUGUCGUCAGCUCGUGUCGUGAGAUGUUGGGUUAAGUC
rnacentral:rRNA from 1 species